GACUGUAAGAGGGCCCCAACAAUUUCAUAUCCCUUGAUGACUGUAAGAGGGCCCCACCAGUAUUGAAGGAUGUCAACGCUUCUUAUUUACAGGUUGGGCUCUGGCUGCAAGGUUUUGGGAAGUACUGGAAGUGGAAAUUAUGAAGGUGUUAGUGACAGGCGCCUCGGGAUACUUAGGCGGACAUAUUUGCCAUGCAGUUGCAAAGGAAGGGUAUGCAGUGAGAGCGUUGGUAAGGCGAAGCAGCGUAUUAGACAAUCUACAUCAAGAGGAAGUGGAAAUUGUUUAUGGAGAUGUAACAAACCUGCCUUCUCUGUUGGAGGCCUGCAAUGGCUGUGACAUCCUAAUCCACGCAGCAGCCCUUGUAUACCCUUGGCUUCCUGAUCCGUCCAAUUUUAUAACUGUCAAUGUGGGCGGUUUGAAAAAUGUUAUAGAAGCUGUGAAGCAGACAUCUUCUAUACAAAAAUUGAUAUACACUUCAUCCUUCUUUGCUCUUGGACCAACGGAUGGCUACAUUGCAGAUGAAAGGCAGAUACAUGCAGGAAAAUCUUACUGCACAGAAUAUGAGAAGUCUAAGGUUGUGGCAGAUGAAAUUGCACGUCAAGCUGCAGAUGAGGGUUUGCCUGUGGUUCUUCUUUAUCCUGGUGUCAUAUAUGGACCUGGAAAAAUGACUUCUGGGAACAUAGUUGCUAGCUUGAUGCUGGAAAGAUUUAAUGGACGGCUACCUGGAUAUAUUGGUUAUGGCAAUGAUAAGAAUUCCUUUUCUCAUGUCGAGGAUGUUGCAUAUGGUCAUGUGGCAGCAAUACAGAAAGGCAGAGUAGGUCAAAGGUACCUUCUCACCGGUGAAAAUGCAUCCUUUACUGAUGUUUUCAAUCUUGCUGCCAAUUUAACAGGGACUGCACUGCCAUCGUUUCAUAUACCUUUAUGGGUUCUAGAAACUUAUGGCUGGAUAUCUGUCUUUUGGGCUCGAAUCUCUGGAAACCUACCUCUUAUCAGCUAUCCUACAGUUUAUGUUUUGAAACAUCAAUGGGCUUAUUCAUGUGAGAAAGCAAAGACAGAAUUGGGUUAUCAGCCUCGAAGUCUAAGGGAGGGUCUAGCAGAGGUGUUGUCAUGGCUGAAAAAUUUAGGCUUGAUAAAAUAUUGACUUUUUCCAAUUUAUCCUACGACUGAUUAAAGUUUUCUGCCAACAACACAGGUAGAUUGAUAUUUCAGUUCCGCAUCAUGCAAACUCCCUCAACUUCUGAAAUGGAUGGUAAAUGCAUUGUUUUGUGUACUCUAUUUUGAUUGUGAACGUUGCAUCCAUCAACUACUAAGCAUUGUGGCGCCAAGAUGCCACUUUUUGAGGGUACAUGAGACGUUGAAACUUACUAGUGACAUAGUGUCAAGUGGACCUAUGUUUGUAUUACAUUGAUAUACAAUAUAAUUUAUUUGUUGUGUACAUAUUCCUACUUCGAAACUUAAAAACUGUAUGUAUAAUCACUUUAGAAUGGUUGAGAUGAACAAUAACAUGUUAUAGAUUGAUUCCUUAUAAGAUUUUUUUUAGUAGAAAGAUCA